CCUAAACCAGAGUCAUGGCAACCAUGGCAACCAGAGGGGAUAGAGAUACUGUGAUGGCUGAACCAACUUGAUGGGAGGUGAGAGAGAGGGGAGAGAGGAAUAAGAAAGUGGGAGGUACGAAGCUAAAUUGAAAUUUUUAUGAACCUAAAUGACCUGGGAGAUGAUGGAAGAUAUGAAUGUUAAAAAUUUAGAAAAGAGAGCCAUCUUGAGCACUGGAACGAAAUGUCUGGAAAUUAGGGAUGCGAAUCAAGAUGUGAAAAGCAGACGCAUUAAUUAAGGUUAAAGUCCCAAAGGCGGGGGAACCCCAGGACAGGGAGGGAAGCUGUGGGCUGAGAAGCUUGAGUGGAGCAGUCACAGGGCAGGGAGAAAACCAGGGACUGUAGGGCUGCCGGGGCAGAGAACACCUACCAGCAGGCGAGCUCAGAAUCGUUACAGGGAGCUGAGGGGAGGAUGUGCCAGUGA
rnacentral:lncRNA from 1 species